CCUACGGGUGGCAGCAGUGAGGAAUAUUGGUCAAUGGACGAGAGUCUGAUCCCGCCAAGUCGCGUGAAGGAUGACUGCCCUAUGGGUUGUAAACUUCUUUUAUAUGGGAAUAAAUUGUUCCACGUGUGGGAUUUUGUAUGUACCAUAUGAUUAAGGAUCGGCUAAAACCGUGCCAGCAGCCGCGGUUAUACGGAUGAUCCGAGAGUUCUCCGGAAUUAUUGGGUUUAAAGGGAGCGUAGGUAGAUUGUUAAGUCAGUUGUGAAAGUUUGCGACUCAACCGUAAGAUUGCAGUUGAAACUGGCAGUCUUGAGUACAGUAGAGGUGAGCGGAAUGCGUGGUGUAGCGGUGAAAUGCUUAGAUAUCACGAAGAACUCCGAUUGCGAAGGCAGUUCACUGGACUGCAACUGACACUGAGGCUCGAAAGUGUGGGUAUCAAACAGGAUUAGAUACCCGGGUAGUC
rnacentral:rRNA from 1 species